GACUCGUCACACUAUCAUUAACUGAAUCCAUAGGUUAAUGAGGCGAACCGGGGGAACUGAAACAUCUAAGUACCCCGAGGAAAAGAAAUCAACCGAGAUUCCCCCAGUAGCGGCGAGCGAACGGGGAGGAGCCCAGAGCCUGAAUCAGCAUGUGUGUUAGUGGAAGCGUCUGGAAAGGCGCGCGAUACAGGGUGACAGCCCCGUACACAAAAGCGCAUGUGCUGUGAGCUCGAUGAGUAGGGCGGGACACGUGGUAUCCUGUCUGAAUAUGGGGGGACCAUCCUCCAAGGCUAAAUACUCCUGACUGACCGAUAGUGAACCAGUACCGUGAGGGAAAGGCGAAAAGAACCCCGGCGAGGGGAGUGAAAAAGAACCUGAAACCGUGUACGUACAAGCAGUGGGAGCACCCUUUGGGGUGUGACUGCGUACCUUUUGUAUAAUGGGUCAGCGACUUAUAUUCUGUAGCAAGGUUAACCGAAUAGGGGAGCCGGAGGGAAACCGAGUCUUAAUUGGGCGUUAAGUUGCAGGGUAUAGACCCGAAACCCGGUGAUCUAGCCAUGGGCAGGUUGAAGGUUGGGUAACACUAACUGGAGGACCGAACCGACUAAUGUUGAAAAAUUAGCGGAUGACCUGUGGCUGGGGGUGAAAGGCCAAUCAAACCGGGAGAUAGCUGGUUCUCCCCGAAAGCUAUUUAGGUAGCGCCUCGUGAAUUCAUCUCCGGGGGUAGAGCACUGUUUCGGCUAGGGGGCCAUCCCGGCUUACCAACCCGAUGCAAACUGCGAAUACCGGAGAAUGUUAUCACGGGAGACACACGGCGGGUGCUAACGUCCGUCGUGAAGAGGGAAACAACCCAGACCGCCAGCUAAGGUCCCAAAGUCAUGGUUAAGUGGGAAACGAUGUGGGAAGGCCCAGACAGCCAGGAUGUUGGCUUAGAAGCAGCCAUCAUUUAAAGAAAGCGUAAUAGCUCACUGGUCGAGUCGGCCUGCGCGGAAGAUGUAACGGGGCUAAACCAUGCACCGAAGCUGCGGCAGCGACGCUGAUGCGUUGUUGGGUAGGGGAGCGUUCUGUAAGCCUGCGAAGGUGGCCUGUGAGGGUUGCUGGAGGUAUCAGAAGUGCGAAUGCUGACAUAAGUAACGAUAAAGCGGGUGAAAAGCCCGCUCGCCGGAAGACCAAGGGUUCCUGUCCAACGUUAAUCGGGGCAGGGUGAGUCGACCCCUAAGGCGAGGCCGAAAGGCGUAGUCGAUGGGAAACGGGUUAAUAUUCCCGUACUUGGUGUUACUGCGAAGGGGGGACGGAGAAGGCUAUGUUGGCCGGGCGACGGUUGUCCCGGUUUAAGCGUGUAGGUGUGUGUUCCAGGUAAAUCCGGUUCACUUUAACACUGAGGCGUGACGACGAGGCACUACGGUGCUGAAGCAACAAAUGCCCUGCUUCCAGGAAAAGCCUCUAAGCAUCAGGUAACAUCAAAUCGUACCCCAAACCGACACAGGUGGUCAGGUAGAGAAUACCAAGGCGCUUGAGAGAACUCGGGUGAAGGAACUAGGCAAAAUGGUGCCGUAACUUCGGGAGAAGGCACGCUGACACGUAGGUGAAGUGAUUUACUCAUGGAGCUGAAGUCAGUCGAAGAUACCAGCUGGCUGCAACUGUUUAUUAAAAACACAGCACUGUGCAAACACGAAAGUGGACGUAUACGGUGUGACGCCUGCCCGGUGCCGGAAGGUUAAUUGAUGGGGUCAGCGCAAGCGAAGCUCCUGAUCGAAGCCCCGGUAAACGGCGGCCGUAACUAUAACGGUCCUAAGGUAGCGAAAUUCCUUGUCGGGUAAGUUCCGACCUGCACGAAUGGCGUAAUGAUGGCCAGGCUGUCUCCACCCGAGACUCAGUGAAAUUGAACUCGCUGUGAAGAUGCAGUGUACCCGCGGCAAGACGGAAAGACCCCGUGAACCUUUACUAUAGCUUGACACUGAACAUUGAGCCUUGAUGUGUAGGAUAGGUGGGAGGCUUUGAAGUGUGGACGCCAGUCUGCAUGGAGCCGACCUUGAAAUACCACCCUUUAAUGUUUGAUGUUCUAACGUGGACCCGUGAUCCGGGUUGCGGACAGUGUCUGGUGGGUAGUUUGACUGGGGCGGUCUCCUCCUAAAGAGUAACGGAGGAGCACGAAGGUUGGCUAAUCCUGGUCGGACAUCAGGAGGUUAGUGCAAUGGCAUAAGCCAGCUUGACUGCGAGCGUGACGGCGCGAGCAGGUGCGAAAGCAGGUCAUAGUGAUCCGGUGGUUCUGAAUGGAAGGGCCAUCGCUCAACGGAUAAAAGGUACUCCGGGGAUAACAGGCUGAUACCGCCCAAGAGUUCAUAUCGACGGCGGUGUUUGGCACCUCGAUGUCGGCUCAUCACAUCCUGGGGCUGAAGUAGGUCCCAAGGGUAUGGCUGUUCGCCAUUUAAAGUGGUACGCGAGCUGGGUUUAGAACGUCGUGAGACAGUUCGGUCCCUAUCUGCCGUGGGCGCUGGAGAACUGAGGGGGGCUGCUCCUAGUACGAGAGGACCGGAGUGGACGCAUCACUGGUGUUCGGGUUGUCAUGCCAAUGGCACUGCCCGGUAGCUAAAUGCGGAAGAGAUAAGUGCUGAAAGCAUCUAAGCACGAAACUUGCCCCGA
rnacentral:rRNA from 1 species